CCAUACAUACCCUGUAGAACCGAAUGUGUGUGGAGCUGCCUCAGUCACAGAUUGGGUUCUAGGGGAGUCUAUGGG
rfam:Oryzias latipes DNA, chromosome15, strain: Hd-rR.